AUACUUACCUGGCAGGGGAGACACCAUGAUCAUGAAGGUGGUUUUCCCAGGACAAAGUUCAUCCAUUACACUCUGGAUGUGCUGACCCCUGCGAUUUCCCCAAAUGCAGGAGACUCGACUGCAUAAUCUAUGGUAGUGGGAGACUGUGUUCCUGCCUUCCCCUG
ensembl:snRNA U1 U1 spliceosomal RNA